GGCGCAUGCGCGCUCUUCCGCCCGGACUGCGAGUUCCUCCCCAGCUUCUGGCUCGUAGGGUCAAGAUACUAUUAUUAAUGUUCUUCAAGAGAAUUCAAGAUGUUACUGCAUUUAUGAAAAAAAUACUUUUGUUUCCAGAUUUAUGGUUUUUAUUACAUAAGGUAAAAAUAUUACAGAUACGGAAAAAUUAAUUCAUUCAACAAUAGUUCAAUUUGCAGAAUUACAGAUUAUGUUUCCAGUUUACUGCUCAUUAUAGUCUGGAAUACAGUAUUUUAUGCUACCAGUCUUUGGCAUCUUGUAACAUUCUGUCAAUUAAUUGGCCAAAUAAUGCUAGGUCUCCAUUUUAACCCGAUUAUCUGGAAUUAAUAUUUCUCCAUAUUUUCACUAAUGACUUUCAAACUAGUUGACUGAUUUUUGCCUAAAGAAAAUCAAGAUACUCCUUUAGUUUUACUUUUUGUUUGUAACUUAAAAAGGGAAGGACAAUUGUCACAUUUUAAAGAAUGUAAUAAAAUGUCAUACCUGAUGUAGCAAAUUGUAUUUUUCAAAAAUAACUACAACAAUAUAUCCCAUCCCACAUGCUCUUCCAAAACUUUGCCACUCACCCUCAAGAGGUGGGGGUUAUGUCCCUUCCCCUUAAUUUGUGUGUCAUUAGACUGACACAUGCAAUAGACAACACUGUAUAACUUCCAAGCCUGGGUCUUAAGAGGCAAUACGGUCCUUGAGUCACUUUCCCUCAGCAGCCAGCCACCGUGCAGUGAGGAAGCCUGGGCUACAUGAAGAGACCCACAUGGAGAGGAAUGAAGUUCCUAUCUCUCAAUCCAGGCUGAGCUCCCAGCCAGUAACCAGUGCCUGUGAGUGACCCCUCUUGGAGAGGGGUCGCCAACUCUUAGUGGAGCCACCAAAGCUGAUGUCAUGUGAAGCAGAGAUGAGCCUUCCUGUCAAGCCCUGUCCAAGUUGCAGAUUGUUAUUUUAAACCGCUAAGUUUUGAGGUACCUGCUUUUGCAGCUAGAUAACUGCCAGAGAGAUAGAAGUGUAGUAAUUAAAGGCUGAACUUUGCAUUGUUUAGAAUUUCCUUAUCACUUCAGUGAAUUACGAACAGAAAUGUGCCAACACAAUAUCUCUUUGCUUAAAAUGGAUUAAACUCAAACUUGUCAGUUAUAGUUAUUUGUCCAGAAUUUGAAAACUACUAUGGGGAAAUAACUAUGUUUGUAAUUUGGUUACUUUCUUUUCAUUUUAUUUGCAUUUUAUUUUUUUUUUGAAGCAGGGUCUCACUCUGUUGCCCAGGCUAGAGUGCAGUGGCAUGAUCACAGCUCACUGCAGCCUCGACCUCCUGGACUCAAGCAAUCCUCCCACCUCAGUCUCCUGAGUAGCUGGGACUACAGGUGCAUGCCACCAUGCCUGGCUGAUUUUUGCAUUUUUUUUAAUAGAGACAGGGUUUCACCAUGCUGUCCAGGCUGGUCUCAAACUCCUGAUCUCAAGUGAUCUGCCUGCCUCAGCCUCCCAAAGUGCUGGGCUUAUGGGUGUGAGCCACUGCACCCAACCCGUCUAAUACUUUUUAAUAAACUUUCACUCCUGCUCAAAAACUUGCCUUGGUCUCUCACUCUGCCUCAUGUCCCUCAGAUGAAUUCUUUCCUCUGAGGAGGUAAGAAUCAAGUUGCUGCACAUUCUAUGGAUUUGCCACUACUAACACCAUGAAUGUGUGUCCCUUUCUCUGGAGUGACUUUUCUAUCUUUUUUGAACAUUACAAUCUAAAUAAUUUUCAAGACUGAGACCAAUGGUUAUCUCAUUUGUGAAAGAAUCUUCCUGGCUGUAUAAUAUAGUAUCAAUUGAUGUGCUUCAUCUACAAAUAGAGUUUGAAGAAGCCAACAGAUCUGUUUUUCCAUGCCAAUUGAAGAGUACAGAGACAACAGAGAUCAAAACAUUCCCUUUAAUAUUGAAGAAGUCUAAGCUGGUGACAUGGGCGAGGGGUUUGCCACAAUUGGCUUCUUGAUUCUGAACCCCAGAAUUAAACAGAUUUGCCCACCCAGUAAGUGCAGAAAAACUGGAAGCUUCCAUCCGUAGGACUGAGGUUUUGCUGCCAGGCUUACAGCACAGCCCACGUCAACCAGAAUACAUGCUCCUAUAGGCAGGCCAGAGAGAUGGGAGGGGGCACUGAGCUAUACAAGCUCAUUCUCUUACCUUAACCCACCUACCACAGAGGGGAGGCAGGAGUAAAGUGUGGAAGGACCAAGAAUACCACACUCCUGGAGGUCCCAUCAUGGGGAAAGCGAACCCAGGAGUGCAUGUUCUUCCAACCCCAGCCUUCUGCAGCUUGUUCUUCUCUUCACUGAACCACUGAGGAAGGCCAGCCAAGGUUGCAGCCAUCCCCUGAGGGUAUCGUGGGAAGGUCCCACACUCCUGGAUUGUCUUGCUCCUAACUUUCACUAAGUUACUCCCCUAAUACCAACUAUUGUUUUUUUGUGGAUCAUUUUUAGUCAACAGAGGUCAAUAUUAAUUUUUGCCCCCAUAAAGCUCUGACAUAGACCAGAUUGCUGUAUUAAUUAAAUCAAUUAUGGGGCCAUUCUGUACCCCAAACUGAAUAAUUAUUCCCUAAUCUUAUUCCCGUUGUAAACUAUGUGCCACCAUAGUGUCCAGAUUUGUUCAUGAGAGGCUCUGCAAUGAGAUUAAAUAACUAAAUUAAAAUAUUCCAGCAACAAAAUGACUAAAAUAUGACUCUAACUGCUUCCUGUUAUGAAAUUCAUAAAAUAAAAUUAAGGACUUAAGAUUAAAUCUCCUUGAAAAUUAAAGUCCAAAGGCAUAAAAAGUCAAAGGAAUUUAAGUUAAAUCCAAUUAUUUUUCCAAAGAAAAAAUAUUUUGUUUUUUUGAUACAUAUAGAUUUUGUCUUAUGGAGUCUUCCAUGGUGAUGGUUAUGAAAUCAGUGUUACUAGAACUGCCAAAAGCAGUGUCAACCCAAAUUGAGCCACAGAGAGACCAGCAAAGAAACAAAGAAGUUGUUGGAGAAUGGCAAGGGCUUGCAAUCCACAAUAUGAAUGCAUUGGCAACCAUAGAUGCGUCGGAGGGGGUUGGGGCAACAGGAAGUUUUUAGAGGCAAAAGAAGAAAUCAGCCAGGCAUGGUGGUUUAUGCUUUGUAAUCCCAGCUAUUAGGGUGGUUGAGGCUCAAGCCCAGGAGUUUGAGGCUGCAGUGAGCUAAGAUCACCACUGUACUGCAGCCUAGGUGACAGAGCAGGACCCUGUCUCUAAAAAAAGAAAAAAGGAGAAAUCCACUAAACUGUACUGAAACAACACCCUGGGCUACAGGGGCUUAUUACAGAUGGUGGCAUUUGUUCAUUAGUGGUACUGGCUAUUGCUAGAAGAGCGCUAUCAUAGAAGUGGCUUAGCUGGAAAUUCCAGUUGGGAAAGUCCUUUGUGACAGUUCCUGUUACAGGACUAUAUGUGAAUGACCAUACCUCCUUUACAACCUUCCAGCUCCAUUUUGUUAGGGUUUGACAUAAGUGAUUCCAUUUUGGUACUGACAAAGCAUUUGUGGUUUAAAUGAAUCUUGUCCACCUUUACCUAUCUAGGAUAAUCAUACCCAAGAAAGAGUCUCCUAUGAGACCAAUAUAUAAUAGGCCUGUACUUUUUUUGUUUUGCCUGUUUUUUUGUUUGUUUGUUUUUGUUGUUGUUCAUUUGUUUGUUUGUUUGUUUGUUUUUAGGAGAUAGGGUCUGGCCGUCACCCAGGCUGGAGUGCUGUGGUGCAAUCAUAGCUCAGUGCAGCCUCCAACUCCUGGGCUCAAGCCAUCCUUCUGCCUCAGCUUCCCAAGUAACUGGGACUAUAGGCAUGCACCACUGCACUGGGCAAAUAUUUUUAGUUUUUGUAGAGACGGGACCUUGCUUUGUCACCCAGGCUGGUUUCAAACUCCUCGCCUCAAGUGAUCUUCCCACCUCAGCCUCACUAGUUGCUGGGAUUACAGGCAUUAGCCACUGCAUGCCUGGGUCAUAUUUAAUAUACUUCAUCUUUCCUAUGCCUUCCAAUUUCUCAGGCAUGUUCUUUAGGGAAUAGGCAAUAUUUGUGUCCACACCUACAAUAAUUGUAUCACCUUGAAAUUCAACAGUGAGUCAGGAGACGACUUUUUUUUAACAGCUUAAUUGACUUUAGGCCUCUGAGCCCAAGCUAAGCCAUCAUAACCCCUGUGACCUGAACGUAUACAUCCAGAUGGCCUGAAGCAAUUGAAGAACCACAAAAGAAGUGAAAUAGCCAGUUCCUGCCUUAACUGAUGACAUUCCGCCAUUGUGAUUUGUUCCCGCCCCACCCUAACUGAUCAAUUGACCUUGUGACAUUCCUUCUCCUGGACAGUGAAUCUCAGGAGCUCCCCACCUAGCACCUUGUGACCCCCGCCCCUGCCCGCAAGAGAACAACCCCCUUUAAGUCUAAUUUUCCACUACCUACCCAAAUCCUAUAAAACUGCCCCACCCCUAUUUCCCUUUGCUGAAUCCUUUUUCAGACUCAGUCCACCUGCACCCAGGUGAUUAAAAAGCUUUAUUGCUCA